rnacentral:lncRNA from 1 species
CCCGCCACAUUUUCGAAUUAGAGAGAGAGAGAGAGAGAGAGAGAGAGAGAGAAGCGCGAUGGAGAAGAAGGGCGAUUCUGAUCACCCCUCCUCUUCCUUCUCCAAGACCCACAUCGCGAUCCGCUGCGCGAGAGCAGCGCUCGUCCUCGCCGAGCUCCAAUCGCCUCCCCUUCGCCGCCGAUCCGCUGCCGUGGCCGAGAAGGAGGAGGUGAAUCCCCGUUCCCCAAUGUCCUCACCAUCUUCUUCUUAUUCUACUUCUCGAUCAAACCCUAAUAGAGAGCCAUUGAUGUUUCCAUCAGGAGACGGAGAGGAUGAGGGUUUCCGUGUCGGAUCUGACGGCGCAGAUGGCCGCGGAGAGGAGGCAACUGCUGCGAUUCGGAGAGGACGAGGUAAUCCUCCACCUCGUUCUCCUCUCGCUGAUCCUGUUGUUGCUUGUCCUCGAAUUGAUGUUGAUGAACUAGAGAUCUCCAUUAGAGUUGGAAAUGAAUCAAGGGAAUUUGUGGUUUCAUCUUCUUCGGUAUCGUCGGUUUUAGGUUUGAUAAUGGUUUGGGAAUUUGCUCUGUUUGAAUAAAUUUCGUUUUGAUUUGCAAAAUCGGGCUCAGAAUAUCUAGAAGGCUCUGUGCUCAUGGAAUUACUGCUUUCUUUUUUUUGGUCAAUCACAGUUAUUAUUACUGUAGCGCAACAACAUGUAUGUACUCACCAUAUACUCUUCACUCUUCGGUUCUGA